ensembl:lncRNA
UGUGAGCAAAGGUCAUAACUUUUUAACAGCAGAGGUGAAACCUUUUCUAAGUUUCUUUUUCCAUGUGCUAUCAUGGAAAUAUUAAGAUAUGGAAGGAAAAUUUUAACCAGAGCUGGGGACACAAGAUAAUUCCAAGGGUAAAAGGUCUAGCCCUUCAGUCGGGUUUCAUGGGCCAGCACUGUGUCCACAGCCCCAAAAGAAGGAGAGAGGGGGCUCCAGAAAACAGAGGCCACCAGCCCCAUGACAGCCUUCCCAGGGAGGACACGGCCAUGCAGUCCCUUGGGCUGAUGCAGAAGAAGGUGUCAUAUGCCCAUUGCAUGGCGUGGAGCAAGUUUUCCUGGCCUGACUCUCCAUCACCACCAGACUAUUAUUUGCAAUCAGUAACAAAGAUUCAUCCUUGUGUCCAUCAAGCAACAAGGAGAAUCUUUGUCACUAAGUGUAAAUAAUAGCUACACUUCACAUUAGAAGAAGGAUGGCCUUCACGGUAGACUUGGGUGGAUUCAGAACAGGCUUCAUGGAACCUUCCAGCCUGUGGACCAUUUAAAAUUCCAGAACUCCAGCAGAGGUGGGUGGUCAGCCAAGUGUUCCCUUUUGUGGUUGGCUUCUGUUAUUAAGAGCAAUGGAGUAAGGCUAACCUCUUGGUACUUAAAAGUGUUCAGUCUUAUUUAAAAUAUGCCUUAUGAAAGCUAAACAGGCACACACCUAAAUGCAUCCUUGGACUAGAUGUUGUAUUAAAGGAAAACUGUAAUGAUCUAUUACUGGGAUAAAAUUGGAAUAUGGACAGCAGAUUAAAGUAUUAUAUUGUUGUUAAAUUUACUGAAUUUGAUAAGUGGUAUGUGUUUAUGGAAGAAAAUAAUUACCCUUGUUCUUAACAAAAUACACUAAAGUAUUUAAAGAUGACAAGUCACAAUGUAUGCAAUCUACAAGCAUUCAGAAAAGUAUUAUUUUAUGUCUGCAUAUAUGCACAUGUACAUGUCUAUGUAUACACACAUGUACCUGUAUAUAUAUGUGUAUAUGUAUAUGUACAGAAAGAGAGCACAAAUGGGAAAGCAAAUGGAGUGAAAUGUUCACAACAGGUGAAUCUGGGUAAAGAAUAUUUAUUGCUCUUUGUAAAUAUUCUUGUUGGAGUUUUCCUGUAAGUUCAAAAUUACUUCCAAACAAAAAGUUUAUUUAUUUUUGAAAUUAUGUUUUGAAGAGGAGUUGGAGAAUGAAGAGACCAAAGCACACAUAAACAAUUUAUAUCUUAGAAAAUACUUGUCUGUGAGAUGGGAAGAUGGCAGCUCCUUUCCAUCCUCAGUUACAAGUUGACAUCAUAAACUCCCUUUGUAUGUCCAUCCACCCAGCUCAUUCUUAUCUCUCCAGUUCUCCUCAUCAGUAAACAGCCUCCAAAAGCAUUGGGCUUGCCCCAAAGUAUCUACAGACAAGAAGCACUAGAGUGAGCAUCUUGGUGCAAUGGUGCACAGCAUCGCCUUGGCACUGAGACCUUUCAUUUCUGAUGCUGAAACAUCCCCUGAAUCAGGCAAAUACAAUUCAUUAAAGUUCAGUAUUUUAAAACUUAAAACACCUUUGAAAUAGAUUGCUAUAUUUCAGACAAACAUAUUAAACACUGUUUUCUAAUAAUAAUUAUUAUUAUAGUUCUAUUCUAAGCUUUCUAAAUAUAUUGACCCGUUUAUGCCUCAGAAUCUUAAAGGAGAGGUAUUAUGAUUGUUUCCAAUUUACAAAUGAAGAAACCAAAGCCCAGAGAGACUAAGUAUCUUUCCCAGGGUAACAGAGCUGGUAAAGUGCCAAAUUUGAACCUGUAUGGUCUGACUUCACAGCCUACAUUCUUAAUGACCAUAUUAGACUUCUCAACUAACCCCCCUCCUAGGACGCAGACAUCUGUCUACCUGCUAACCCUCUGAAACCAUCCUAAUAAUCCUAAUCGAUUGGUUAGGAUGUCACUAUAGAUGUUGCAUUGUCUUUGUUUAAAAUCCCAUUACCAGAGUUUCAUAAAACAAACCUCUAUUGAAAAGUCAAAUUUAUUCCAUGACCACUAUUAUGAAUCUAAGGCCAAACUCAUUGUAUGCUGAGACCAGUCAGUUCAAUUGCUCAG